rnacentral:lncRNA from 1 species
GCACAAUUGUUAUGCUUAUCCGCUGUACUAUUAAACCAGUGUGUUUGUAUGUGUUUCUGCCUCUGUCAGUUUUUUUAUGUCUUUAAAUUAUAUAAAAUGAAAGAUAUGUAUAAUUGGAUGCAUUGGUUUGAAGUUAUCUAUCCAUCUAUCAAAAUCGAGGCCUCUCUCCAACGCAAGAUACACACAUAAUUUCUCAAUUUUGAUUUGGAUUUUGACCCCCUAUACUUUAGAAACUUGUUUGGUAUUUUAAUAUUGUAGCGAGCAGCACGGGAAGGAUGAGACAGGAGCCCAGGUUUAACCGUUGAAUAUAGUUCCGCUCCCCAUACACCGCACGACAAGGGAACUGCCUUUAAUAACACACCAUCGUUAUCACAGAAACACAACAUAGCUGACCAACGCACAUAACGCUCACACUCACGGUGGCGACAACAAUGCCCCCACCUUAGGGGUCAGACGUCCUGACGACCCCAACACCCAUCGCACAGUCCAAAGUGUUCAGGAGCCGGCCCGGCCGCCUCGGCCCCUGCCGGUGGCUGCCCCGCGGCGGCGCAGUCUGAGACGCCCGUCUCCAAUAGCGGGCGGCAUACUACCUCCUCUGGCAACCCCAGAGGGAGCAGGAGCCCUGGGGGUGUGGUCGGGGACCACCUCCAUCGGGACCCCCACCAGGUUCUGCUGUGCGGGCCUGCCUGGUGAGGGAGAGAGGGAGAGGAGGAGGGGGAGGAAGAGGGGGAGAGGAGGAGGAGAGGAGGAGGAGCAGGAGGAGGAGGAGAGGGGGAGGAGGAGGGGGGGAGGAGGGAGAGGGGGAGAGGAGGAGCAGGAGGAGAGGAGGAGUAGGAGGGGGAGAGGAGGAGAGGGAGAGAGGAGGAGGAGAGGGGGAGGAGGAAGGGUGGAGGAGGGGAGAGGAGGAGGAGGUGGGGGAGGGGGAGGAGAGGGGGAGGAGGGGAGGGGGAGAGGAGAGGGGGAGUGGAAGAGGAGGAUGAGAGGGGUAGAGGAGGAGGAGGAGGAGAGGGGGGAGAGGAGGAGAGGAGAGGGGGGGAGGAGGAGGGGGAGAGGGGAGAGGAGGGGGAGAGGAGUAGGAGAGGGGGGGAGAGGAGGGGGAGAGGGAGAGAGGAGGAGGAGGAGCGGAGGAGGAGAGGAGGAGGAGGGUAGAGGAGGAGGGGUGGAGGAGGAGCGGAGGAGGAGGAGGAGAGGGUGAGAUGGGGAGAGAUGAGGAGGAGGAGGAGGAGGAGGACGGUAAUUUGGCCGUGGCCAACUUCUAUACGCUCACUUAGGACAUCACAUGAACCUAGCUGGUGUGUCCUCGCAUGAACCGUGAGUUGUCCUCAAGUAAACUCUAGCUGAACCUUACAU